UACAAGGGGAGGUCGCGUGUCUCGGAAUCACUGGGCGUAAAGGGUGCGUAGGCGGGUCUUUAAGUCAGGGGUGAAAUCCUGGAGCUCAACUCCAGAACUGCCUUUGAUACUGAGGAUCUUGAGUACGGGAGAGGUGAGUGGAACUGCGAGUGUAGAGGUGAAAAUUCGUAGAUAUUCGGAGGAACACCAGUGGCGAAGGCGGCUCACUGGCUCGAUACUGACGCUGAGGUGCGAAAGCGUGGGGAGCAAACAGG
rnacentral:rRNA from 1 species